rnacentral:snRNA from 1 species
GGAUGUGAAGGUGAUCUGCUGUGAUGUCUGUCACCCCAUUGAUUACCAUCGUUGAUUCGGCUGAUCUGGCUGACUAGGUGGGGGCUCCCUCCUCCCUCACUGCUCCAUGUGCAGCCAUCCUGAAGCUGCGUGCUCGAAGAGGAUGACCUUCCCUGAACAGAGGAGGUCUGGUCUUUGGUCAAGGGUAUGAGUAGCUGCACUCACAGAUGCUAGCCCCAGACUACUAUACCCAACAAAACUUU